GGUCAAGCGAACAAGUGCAUGUGGUGGAUGCCUUGGCGAUCACAGGCGAUGAAGGACGCGGUAGCCUGCGAAAAGCUACGGGGAGCUGGCAAACGAGCUUUGAUCCGUAGAUGUCCGAAUGGGGAAACCCACUCCGAAUGGAGUAUCCAUGACUGAAUCCAUAGGUCAUGUGAGGCGAACGCGGUGAACUGAAACAUCUAAGUAACCGCAGGAAAAGAAAUCAACCGAGAUUCCCAGAGUAGUGGCGAGCGAAAUGGGAGCAGCCUGCAUUCUUUAUCUGAACUGUUAGCUGAACGCUCUGGAAAGUGCGGCCAUAGCGGGUGAUAGCCCCGUAAGCGAAAACAGAUUGGAAGAACUAGGUAUGCGAGAAGUAGGGCGGGACACGUGAAAUCCUGUCUGAAGAUGGGGGGACCAUCCUCCAAGGCUAAAUACUCGUGAUCGACCGAUAGUGAACCAGUACCGUGAGGGAAAGGCGAAAAGAACCCCGGGAGGGGAGUGAAACAGAUCCUGAAACCGCAUGCAUACAAACAGUCGGAGCCUUCGCAAGGGGGUGACGGCGUACCUUUUGUAUAAUGGGUCAGCGACUUACAUUCAGUGGCAAGCUUAACCGAUUAGGGCAGGCGUAGCGAAAGCGAGUCCGAACAGGGCGUUCAGUCGCUGGGUGUAGACCCGAAACCAGGUGAUCUAUCCAUGGCCAGGAUGAAGGUGCGGUAACACGUACUGGAGGUCCGAACCCACUAACGUUGAAAAGUUAGGGGAUGAGCUGUGGAUAGGGGUGAAAGGCUAAACAAACCUGGAAAUAGCUGGUUCUCUCCGAAAACUAUUUAGGUAGUGCCUCGUGUAUCACCUUCGGGGGUAGAGCACUGUCAUGGUUGUGGGGUCCAUUGCGGAUUACUACGCCAUAGCAAACUCCGAAUACCGAAGAGUGCAAUCACGGGAGACAGACAUCGGGUGCUAACGUCCGGUGUCAAGAGGGAAACAACCCAGACCGCCAGCUAAGGUCCCCAAAUAUGGCUAAGUGGGAAACGAAGUGGGAAGGCUAAAACAGUCAGGAGGUUGGCUUAGAAGCAGCCAUCCUUUAAAGAAAGCGUAAUAGCUCACUGAUCGAGUCGUCCUGCGCGGAAGAUGUAACGGGGCUAAGCCAUAUACCGAAGCUGCGGAUGCAUAUUUAUAUGCAUGGUAGGAGAGCGUUCCGUAAGCCUGCGAAGGUGCACUGGAAAGUGUGCUGGAGGUAUCGGAAGUGCGAAUGCUGACAUGAGUAGCGAUAA
rnacentral:rRNA from 1 species